rnacentral:rRNA from 1 species
UACGAAGGGGGCUAGCGUUGUUCGGAAUUACUGGGCGUAAAGCGCACGUAGGCGGGCUGUCAAGUCGGAGGUGAAAUCCUGGAGCUUAACUCCAGAACUGCCUUCGAUACUGUCAGCCUUGAGGUUGGGAGAGGUGAGUGGAACUCCGAGUGUAGAGGUGAAAUUCGUAGAUAUUCGGAAGAACACCAGUGGCGAAGGCGGCUCACUGGCCCAAUACUGACGCUGAGGUGCGAAAGCGUGGGGAGCAAACAGG